rnacentral:rRNA from 1 species
AUAAACGAUGUCGACUUGGAGGUUGUGCCCUUGAGGCGUGGCUUCCGGAGCUAACGCGUUAAGUCGACCGCCUGGGGAGUACGGCCGCAAGGUUAAAACUCAAAUGAAUUGACGGGGGCCCGCACAAGCGGUGGAGCAUGUGGUUUAAUUCGAUGCAACGCGAAGAACCUUACCUGGUCUUGACAUCCACAGAACCCUGUAGAGAUACGGGGGUGCCUUCGGGAACUGUGAGACAGGUGCUGCAUGGCUGUCGUCAGCUCGUGUUGUGAAAUGUUGGGUUAAGUCCCGCAACGAGCGCAACCCUUAUCCUUUGUUGCCAGCGGUCCGGCCGGGAACUCAAAGGAGACUGCCAGUGAUAAACUGGAGGAAGGUGGGGAUGACGUCAAGUCAUCAUGGCCCUUACGACCAGGGCUACACACGUGCUACAAUGGCGCAUACAAAGAGAAGCGACCUCGCGAGAGCAAGCGGACCUCAUAAAGUGCGUCGUAGUCCGGAUUGGAGUCUGCAACUCGACUCCAUGAAGUCGGAAUCGCUAGUAAUCGUGGAUCAGAAUGCCACGGUGAAUACGUUCCCGGGCCUUGUACACACCGCCCGUCACACCAUGGGAGUGGGUUGCAAAAGAAGUAGGUAGCUUAACCUUCGGGAGGGCGCUUACCACUUUGUGAUUCAUGACUGGGGUGAAGUCGUAACAAGGUAACCGUAGGGGAACCUGCGGUUG